rnacentral:rRNA from 1 species
UACAGAGGGGGCAAGCGUUGUCCGGAUUUACUGGGCGUACAGCGCGCGCAGGCGGUUGCGUAUGUGAGCGGUGACAUCCGCGGGCUCAACCCGCGGCGGCCCGCUUACACAGCGCGACUGGAGGCAGGGAGAGGGGAUGUGGAAUUCCAGGUGUAGCGGUGAAAAUGCGUAGAUAUCUGGAGGAACACCGGUGGCGAAGGCGGCAUCCUGGACCGGUAUUGACGCUGAGGCGCGAAAGCCAGGGGAGCAAACGGG